rnacentral:rRNA from 1 species
AAUCGUACCCCAAACCGACACAGGUGGUCAGGUAGAGAAUACCAAGGCGCUUGAGAGAACUCGGGUGAAGGAACUAGGCAAAAUGGUGCCGUAACUUCGGGAGAAGGCACGCUGAUAUGUAGGUGAAGCGACUUGCUCGUGGAGCUGAAAUCAGUCGAAGAUACCAGCUGGCUGCAACUGUUUAUUAAAAACACAGCACUGUGCAAACACGAAAGUGGACGUAUACGGUGUGACGCCUGCCCGGUGCCGGAAGGUUAAUUGAUGGGGUUAGCGGCAACGCGAAGCUCUUGAUCGAAGCCCCGGUAAACGGCGGCCGUAACUAUAACGGUCCUAAGGUAGCGAAAUUCCUUGUCGGGUAAGUUCCGACCUGCACGAAUGGCGUAAUGAUGGCCAGGCUGUCUCCACCCGAGACUCAGUGAAAUUGAACUCGCUGUGAAGAUGCAGUGUACCCGCGGCAAGACGGAAAGACCCCGUGAACCUUUACUAUAGCUUGACACUGAACAUUGAGCCUUGAUGUGUAGGAUAGGUGGGAGGCUUUGAAGUGUGGACGCCAGUCUGCAUGGAGCCGACCUUGAAAUACCACCCUUUAAUGUUUGAUGUUCUAACGUGGGCCCGUAAUCCGGGUUGCGGACAGUGUCUGGUGGGUAGUUUGACUGGGGCGGUCUCCUCCUAAAGAGUAACGGAGGAGCACGAAGGUUGGCUAAUCCUGGUCGGACAUCAGGAGGUUAGUGCAAUGGCAUAAGCCAGCUUGACUGCGAGCGUGACGGCGCGAGCAGGUGCGAAAGCAGGUCAUAGUGAUCCGGUGGUUCUGAAUGGAAGGGCCAUCGCUCAACGGAUAAAAGGUACUCCGGGGAUAACAGGCUGAUACCGCCCAAGAGUUCAUAUCGACGGCGGUGUUUGGCACCUCGAUGUCGGCUCAUCACAUCCUGGGGCUGAAGUAGGUCCCAAGGGUAUGGCUGUUCGCCAUUUAAAGUGGUACGCGAGCUGGGUUUAGAACGUCGUGAGACAGUUCGGUCCCUAUCUGCCGUGGGCGCUGGAGAACUGAGGGGGGCUGCUCCUAGUACGAGAGGACCGGAGUGGACGCAUCACUGGUGUUCGGGUUGUCAUGCCAAUGGCACUGCCCGGUAGCUAAAUGCGGAAGAGAUAAGUGCUGAAAGCAUCUAAGCACGAAACUUGCCCCGAGAUGAGUUCUCCCUGAGCCUUUAAGGGUCCUGAAGGAACGUUGAAGACGACGACGUUGAUAGGCCGGGUGUGUAAGCGCAGCGAUGCGUUGAGCUAACCGGUACUAAUGAACCGUGAGGCUUAACC